AACAGGGAUUAGAUACCUGGUAGUCCACGCCGUAAACGAUGAGUACUAGCUGUCGGAGGUUACCCCCUUCGGUGGCCAGCUAACGCAUUAAGUACUCCGCCUGGGAAGUACGCUCGCAAGAGUGAAACUCAAAGGAUUGACGGGGACCCGCACAAGUAGCGGAGCAUGUGGUUUAAUUCGAAGCAACGCGAAGAACUUACCUAAGCUUGACAUCCUUUUGACCUCUCCCUAAUCGGAGAUUUCCCUUCGGGGACAGAGUGACAGGUGGUGCAUGGUUGUCGUCAGCUCGUGUCGUGAGAUGUUGGGUUAAGUCCCGAACGAGCGCAACCCUUGCCUUUAGUUGCCAUCAUUAAGUUGGGCACUCUAGAGGGACUGCAGGGAUAACCUGGAGGAAGGUGGGGAUGACGUCAAAUCAUCAUGCCCCUUAUGCUUAGGGUACACACGUGCUACAAUGGGUGGUACAGAGGGCAGCCAAGUCGUGAGGCGGAGCUAAUCCUUAAAGCCAUUCUCAGUUCGGAUUGUAGGCUGAAACUCGCCUACAUGAAGCUGGAGUUACAGUAAUCGCAGAUCAGAAUGCUGCGGUGAAUGCGUUCCCGGGUCUUGUACACACCGCCCG
rnacentral:rRNA from 1 species